GUGAUUGUACUGAGCAUGUUCAGACGCAGGACUCCCUUUUGUAUCAGACCUGAGGCUGUUAGGAAUGGUGGGAGUUGGAGUUGGUUUGCCAGUUUGACUGUAUUUCUUUGGUGUGAGAGGGGUUGUAGACAUGUGAUUGUACUGAGCAUGUUCAGACGCAGGACUCCCUUUUGUAUUCACUUUUGCAUCAGACCUGAGUUGGAGUUGGUUUGCCAGUUUGACUGUAUUUCUUUGGUGUGAGAGGGGUUGUAGACAUGUGAUUGUACUGAGCAUGUUCAGACGCAGGACUCCCUUUUGUAUUCACUUUUGUAUCAGACCUGAGGCUGUUAGGAAUGGUGGGAGUUGGAGUCCAAAACACCUGGAAAGAGGACCCAAGUGUGUCUAUGCCUGGUGCAGAUGCAAGAGAGCCAUGGUGUAGAUGCAACUCAUACUUGGUGUAGAUGAAAUGGAUGAUGCCCUUCUUCUUGCAAGAAGAGGAGACUAGCACCCAUUAUCCAUUCAUGCACCCCAAUGAAUAAUGGGGUUGCCAAAGGCCAGGGUUGUCCCCGAUCCCUUUCCCAAUCCGGGCCUGGGAUGCUCUUUCUCUCUGUUGACAGGCGUGACUCCUACUCAGUGUAGCAGGCACAUUCUCCGGAAAUGAAUGGCCGAUUAUCACCUCGUUUACAACUCAUCAAGAAAUUAUGUAAUUUUCGAAAAAAAUAGAAAAGGUUCUGGGAGCCUCGCCUUUCCCUGCAAGGUGUGAUUAGGAGAAACGGGACCGUUGAUGGAUAUACAUAUUCCAAAGUGACCCAUAUGUUGAUGGAAACUUGCACCACUUGUUGCACCAACAAGGAGUUUCUAUAUAGAAGGGUUCAGGGUGGGUUUGCUCUUGGCCUUCCUCUCGUGAUUGAGGAUGGGACGCCCAAAUUAUGAAUUAGACACAAUUUGCAUGAUGAAAAGUUUUUCCCCUGACAUUAAGUCUAGUCGUGUCUGACUCUGGGUGUUGGUGCUCAUCUCCAUUUCUAAGCCGAAGAGCCGGCGUUGUCCGUAGACACCUCCAAGGCCAUGUGAAUGGAGCACUGUUACCUUCCCGCCGGAGCAGUACCUAUUGAUCUACUCACAUUUGCAUGUUCUCAAAAUGCUCGGUUGGCAGAAGCUGGAGUUAACAGUGGGAGCUCACCCCGCUCCCCAAAUUCAAACCGCCAACCUUUUGGUCAGCAAGUUCAGCAGCUCGGAGGGUUUAACCUGGUGCGCCACUGGGGGUCCCUUGGGGAGAUAAAGCAUACAUAUUAAUAAUAAUAAAAAUAAUAAUAAUGUGUUAUAAUGGCAUAUAAUAAUAAUGCCAUAAUGAUAUGUAAUAAUAAUAAUAAUAAUAAUGUGGUAUAAUGACAUAUAUAUUAUAAUGAUGAUGAUGAUGAUGAUGUGUUA
rnacentral:lncRNA from 1 species